rnacentral:rRNA from 2 species
UGCAGUCGAGCGGACGGAUGGGAGCUUGCUCCCUGAAGUCAGCGGCGGACGGGUGAGUAACACGUGGGCAACCUGCCUGUAAGACUGGGAUAACUCCGGGAAACCGGGGCUAAUACCGGAUAACUCUUUUCCUCACAUGAGGAAAAGCUGAAAGAUGGUUUCGGCUAUCACUUACAGAUGGGCCCGCGGCGCAUUAGCUAGUUGGUGAGGUAACGGCUCACCAAGGCCACGAUGCGUAGCCGACCUGAGAGGGUGAUCGGCCACACUGGGACUGAGACACGGCCCAGACUCCUACGGGAGGCAGCAGUAGGGAAUCUUCCGCAAUGGACGAAAGUCUGACGGAGCAACGCCGCGUGAGUGAUGAAGGUUUUCGGAUCGUAAAACUCUGUUGUCAGGGAAGAACAAGUACCGGAGUAACUGCCGGUACCUUGACGGUACCUGACCAGAAAGCCACGGCUAACUACGUGCCAGCAGCCGCGGUAAUACGUAGGUGGCAAGCGUUGUCCGGAAUUAUUGGGCGUAAAGCGCGCGCAGGCGGUUCCUUAAGUCUGAUGUGAAAGCCCCCGGCUCAACCGGGGAGGGUCAUUGGAAACUGGGGAACUUGAGUGCAGAAGAGAAGAGUGGAAUUCCACGUGUAGCGGUGAAAUGCGUAGAGAUGUGG